AGCGGCGCUGAACUUGUGAAGAGAAGAAGGAAACUCCAUUUCACUAUUUAUCUUCAUCUUGUUUUACUUGUAACUUGAGCUAUGGAGCUCAGAUUGAGGAGCUUCCUCAUUUGCCGGAGUUUGCCGUCAAUGUGCUUCCCCCGAGAGUUUCCCGUCAAUGGAGAACAAAGAGUUUGAGAUGGUGAUUGCUGAAUGUCUUCCGGAAGCAAUGCAGAACCGGUGGGAGGCUGUGGCUGCUUGUCUCACCGAAAAGACUCCCAUGCAGAUACAGGAACGCUUCCAGAAGCUCAUCACCGACAUCAAUCUCAUCCAUUUAUCUUAUAUCAAUCUGCAUCACACCUCCAUCGCACCUGCUGCACCUCCCGGCGGAAGCACAUUGGCGGCAAACUGCGGCAAAGGAGGAAGCUGAGGCUGAAGCUGUUGAUUACCACCCACAUUGGCAGCCAGAAUGUGGUUUUCGUCCCCAGUCCAGACCGGAUGAUGCAGAGGCAGAGACUGAAACACAGAGCGCCACUGAAACUGAGGUGGUCCCAUGUCGGCGGCAAACAGUAGUUCUGUUGAGAAAAUCUGGAAGUGCUGUUGUUGAUGCUGAAAACUGUUGUUGAGGUAUUGAAUUAGAUAGUUGAAUUCUUGAGGAUGUAAAAUCUGUAUCAGCAAUCUGUAAUUUCGCUUGAUCUUGAGUUUUCGUGAUGAUUUUGCUUAUGGAGUUCUGAUUUCGUGUUCUGUUGAUGGUUUUUCUGUGGUGUCUACCGUAGAAUUCUGGAUUUGAAUUUUUGCUUGAAAUGCUGAUUCUGGACUUUGAUUCAGUGAUUGAUAGAAAAUUUUUAUUGAUGAA